UGGGGUCAAUCAUAAAUAAAGACGGUGACAUAGAGGAUGAUGUUUCACAAAGAAUUAAAGUGGGAUGGCUGAAGUAGAGAGGUGCUUCGGGAGUGUUAUGUGACAAACGCAUGCCUAUUAAACUUAAGGGAAAAUUCUACAUGACAGUAAUAAGACCGGCCAUGACUUAUGGGGUGGAAUGUUGGGCAGU